rnacentral:pre_miRNA from 1 species
CAUUGUCUUCACGAGGCUAAACGCGAUUUUGAAAGCGUUUGCAUCGUGCGAGGCUAAGG